UACGAAGGGGGCUAGCGUUGUUCGGAAUCACUGGGCGUAAAGCGCUCGUAGGCGGAUCUUUAAGUCAGAGGUGAAAGCCUGGAGCUCAACUCCAGAACUGCCUUUGAUACUGGGGAUCUCGAGUCCGGGAGAGGUGAGUGGAACUGCGAGUGUAGAGGUGAAAUUCGUAGAUAUUCGCAAGAACACCAGUGGCGAAGGCGGCUCACUGGCCCGGUACUGACGCUGAGGAGCGAAAGCGUGGGGAGCAAACAGG
rnacentral:rRNA from 1 species